AGCCUACUCUAGCCCAAUUACUACCCUAAUCGCAAAAACCAAAAUCAAACUUAAACCCAAAAAACAAAACAUUCUCCUGUCUAAGUAUAGGCGAUAGAAAAGACACGAAGGAGCAAUAGACUUGUAGUACCGCAAGGGAAAGCUGAAAUAACAAUGAAAACUUAAGCAACAAAUAGCAAAGAUAAACCCUUGUACCUUUUGCAUCAUGAUCUAGCAAGAACAACCAAGCAAAAUGAAUUUUAAGCUUGCCACCCCGAAACCCAAGCGAGCUACUCUCAAGCAGCUAUAUCUGAGCGAACCCGUCUCUGUGGCAAAAGAGUGGGAAGACUUGUUAGUAGAGGUGAAAAGCCAACCGAGCUGGGUGAUAGCUGGUUGCCCGUGAAACGAAUGUCAGUUCCCCCUUAAUUUUACCCCCCAGAAAAAUACAAUUACUCAUCCGUAAAAAUUAAGAGCAAUUUAAAGGAGGUACAGCUCCCUUAAAACAGAACACAACCUCCCCUAGAGGAUAAGCUAAGUACCCUUAAACCUGUAGGCCCUUAAGCAGCCACCAACAAAGAAUGCGUCAAAGCUCAACACACUAAAAAUAUAAGAACUCAUGCGACUCCCUCCCCCCUAACGGGCUAACCUAUUAAAAUAGGAGUAUUAAUGCUAGAAUAAGUAACUAAGGAACUUCCUUCUAAAGCACAAACUUACAUCUCACAUUAUUAACAGGCCUACUAAUAAACCAACCACUACAAGACCAACUAUCCAAUGCCCUGUUAGACCGACUCAGGUGUGCUAAAUUAGAAAGAUUUAAACCUGUAAAAGGAACUAGGCAAAUUCAAGGCCCGACUGUUUACCAAAAACAUAGCCUUCAGCAAAAAUACUCAAGUAUUGAAGGUGAUGCCUGCCCAGUGACAUUAAGUUUAACGGCCGCGGUAUCCUAACCGUGCAAAGGUAGCGCAAUCAAUUGUCUCAUAAAUUGAGACUUGUAUGAAUGGCCAAACGAGGUCUUAACUGUCUCUUACAGGUAAUCAGUGAAAUUGAUCUCCCCGUGCAAAAGCAGGGAUAGACCCAUAAGACGAGAAGACCCUGUGGAACUUAAAAACCAACAGUCACUCUACAAACACUACAAACCUAUCAGGUUUACUACCAACAGACAGCUGACUUGCAUUUUUUCGGUUGGGGCGACCUUGGAGAAAAACAUAUCCUCCAAAAACAAGACCACCCCUCUUGACUAAGAUCAACUACUCAAAGUGCUAACAGCAACCAGACCCAGCACAGCUGAGCAAUGAACCAAGCUACCCCAGGGAUAACAGCGCAAUCUCCUUCAAGAGCCCUUAUCGACAAGGAGGUUUACGACCUCGAUGUUGGAUCAGGACAUCCUAAUGGUGCAGUCGCUAUUAAGGGUUCGUUUGUUCAACGAUUAAAGUCCUACGUGAUCUGAGUUCAGACCGGAGUAAUCCAGGUCGGUUUCUAUCUAUGACUUAGACCUUUCCCAGUACGAAAGGACCGGAAAAGUAAGGCCAAUGCCCCAAGUAUGCCUUUCCUAAAAGUAAUGAGUGCAUCUAAAUUACCCAAAGGACACCCCCCCCACCCUAAAACCAAGGGCG
rnacentral:rRNA from 1 species